UUCCCAGGUUGCCUCUGCUUGUGCCUGGUAGUACUGUGCUGCUCCAUCCAGCCCUGCAGGCUGACUUCCUGGCUUGGCUUAGGACCUGAUUCAUCACCAUGAGUUUGCUUGAUCUGGCCUGCCUUGCUUAGGUACUGUGGGAGGGGACCUGGCUGCAAGGGGCAUGGGCAGCUGGCAGAAGGGAUGCAGGCAGGGCAAUGGCCUUGGCAGGCUGUUCUUCCCAAAAGGCCAGGAGCCAGCCUCUGCUCUCAGACACAUAUGAUUUCCAGUGGGAUCAACAGUGGAAACUGAAGACAAUGCCCUCAUUGGGAUAACUGCGGGUCAGAUUCCCUUAGUUCAAACCCCAGCAGAGAUCUGGGGACUCCCACUAUGUACACAAGAGGAAGCUGAAGCAGGUCUCCUGGUGA